GAUGAAGAACGUAGCGAAAUGCGAUAAGUAAUGUGAAUUGCAGAAUUCAGUGAAUCAUCGAAUCUUUGAACGCAUCUUGCGCUCCUUGGUAUUCUGAGGAGCAUGCCUGCUUGAGUGUCAUUAAAUUCUCAACUACACUGACUUUGAAUUGGUGUGGCUUGGAUUUGGGGGGAAAAUUGUUGUGGGCUUUUUGUAUAGUCUGCUCCCCUGAAAUUGAUUAGCGGUACCUUUGUGGAACUGUCUACAGGUGUGAUAAUUAUCUACAUCUUAGACAUCUGCUGGAAUGCUGCUUUCUAAACCUUACUUGUAUUGACAAUCUUGACCUCAAAUCAGGUAGGACUACCCGCUGAACUUAAGCAUAUCAAUAAGCGGAGGA
rnacentral:misc_RNA from 1 species